rnacentral:rRNA from 1 species
GAUGAACGCUGGCGGCGUGCCUAAUACAUGCAAGUCGAGCGAACAGACGAGGAGCUUGCUCCUCUGACGUUAGCGGCGGACGGGUGAGUAACACGUGGAUAACCUACCUAUAAGACUGGGAUAACUUCGGGAAACCGGAGCUAAUACCGGAUAAUAUAUUGAACCGCAUGGUUCAAUAGUGAAAGACGGUUUUGCUGUCACUUAUAGAUGGAUCCGCGCCGCAUUAGCUAGUUGGUAAGGUAACGGCUUACCAAGGCGACGAUGCGUAGCCGACCUGAGAGGGUGAUCGGCCACACUGGAACUGAGACACGGUCCAGACUCCUACGGGAGGCAGCAGUAGGGAAUCUUCCGCAAUGGGCGAAAGCGUGACGGAGCAAAGCCGCGUGAGUGAUGAAGGUCUUCGGAUCGUAAAACUCUGUUAUUAGGGAAGAACAAAUGUGUAAGUAACUAUGCACGUCUUGACGGUACCUAAUCAGAAAGCCACGGCUAACUACGUG